rnacentral:rRNA from 1 species
UACGAAGGGUGCAAACGUUGCUCGGAAUCAUUGGGCGUAAAGCGCACGUAGGCGGCUCCAAAAGUCGGAUGUGAAAUCCCUGGGCUCAACCGAGGAAGUGCAUCCGAAACUGCGGAGCUUGAGUAUGGAAGAGGGUCGCGGAAUUCCCGGUGUAGAGGUGAAAUUCGUAGAUAUCGGGAGGAACACCAGUGGCGAAGGCGGCGACCUGGGCCGAUACUGACGCUGAGGAGCGAAAGCGU